rnacentral:rRNA from 1 species
GAUGAACGCUGGCGGCGUGCCUAAUACAUGCAAGUCGAGCGAACAGAUAAGGAGCUUGCUCCUUUGACGUUAGCGGCGGACGGGUGAGUAACACGUGGGUAACCUACCUAUAAGACUGGAAUAACUCCGGGAAACCGGGGCUAAUGCCGGAUAACAUUUAGAACCGCAUGGUUCUAAAGUGAAAGAUGGUUUUGCUAUCACUUAUAGAUGGACCCGCGCCGUAUUAGCUAGUUGGUAAGGUAACGGCUUACCAAGGCAACGAUACGUAGCCGACCUGAGAGAGGGAUCGGCCACACUGGAACUGAGACACGGUCCAGACUCCUACGGGAGGCAGCAGUAGGGAAUCUUCCGCAAUGGGCGAAAGCCUGACGGAGCAACGCCGCGUGAGUGAUGAAGGUCUUCGGAUCGUAAAACUCUGUUAUUAGGGAAGAACAAAUGUGUAAGUAACUGUGCACGUCUUGACGGUACCUAAUCAGAAAGCCACGGCUAACUACGUG